GAGGGUAUAGCUCAGUGGUAGAGCGCAUGCCUAGCAUGCAGGAGGUCCUGGAUUCAAUCCCUAGUACCACCA
rnacentral:tRNA from 1 species